rnacentral:lncRNA from 1 species
GAGUAUCUCCCUUUCCACCUUGAAUCUGAGCCUUUAGCCUCCCAGCUCCUCCUCAACAGACCAGGGAGGCAAUGGCACACCAGCCUGUUCCCCAGCUCAGGGAGAACUGGAUCUGGACUCACCUCAUUGGAGCCUGAAUGGGAUCCAGACCAUCAGCCACCCCAUCACCCAUCCCUCCAUCAGAGUUUUUCAUGGUUCUGCUUCCCUGCCACCCAAGAGGUCACAGAGGUGCAAACAGCAGAGCCUCAGACCUCAUCUUUCCUUUCCAGACCACCUUCUUUCCUUUCUGGAGAUGGGAGACAUAGAGGGAGCCUGAGACCUGUCCCACCUGUGGCUGAUAGGACCUCCUCGUGCUUCUGGAAUGGUAGGUUGGACCACAUCUAGACUGCAGCUUCGUCCAUUCAACUGGAGCUCACCCACUAAGGUUACUGGAAAAUGUUCAUUUUUACAUUCAGCAUGUUACCCCAACCAUCAAAAUAAUCUGCAGUUGGUUUAUUUUUUGGAAAUCUGUUUGCUGGAAACCAAAAAAAUUGUUAGUCAGAAAAAAGAUGUUAGUGAGAGAGAUCACAGCAGUGUAAACAAAGCUAAGAAGUUGGCUUGCCCCAUGCAUGCAACCUGUAGAAGGUGCAAUGGAGGGCUGGUUUGUGUUUUGACUAAUAGCUCUUAAUCUGCAGAGCAGCUCAUCAACAUUGAAACCAAUGGCACCAUCUUGGGGUCUAAACAAGGGGAGUCAAUGGAAGUGGUUGUCAAAAGAAGCAAAAACAUACCUCAGAAAUUCCAGCUCUUUUUGACAAAUAUCCAAAGCUGAGACUCAAAAUUGACAUCAACUUAUUCAUUAAAGCCUCCCUACACACACCACCACCACCAUUGCAACAGGUCAUUUUCUUUGUCUGUCCCCCCCCCGCCACCCAAGACAGUGUGCAUUUGAAACUAAUCAAAUUCAAUGGCAACUAGAAACCCCACAUCAUAAGCAGUGUAUUUCAUUGUAUGUGGUUUGGUCUAAUUCUGGAUGAACCACUCAUAAAACCCCCUCCUCCCACUUUUGCCUCCAGCUGAAGCAGCAUCAACAGUGACUGCAGCCUCCUCUGCACAGCUGCUUCUCCUCUGACAAUUGCUGCUCAAACUCAGGGCCCUUCUUUAGAAUGUGGUGCUAGAAUCAGGGAGCAGAGGGAGCAGCGGGCCACUGAAACACAAACUCCAAACAUGAGAAAGCAUCUGUUGUGUAAUUUUGAAGGUAGGGUGAAGUCUGUGAUGAAAGGUGUUGAGAAGAUCAUUUGAGCCAGUAAACGCUAUGCAUUUACCCAAAUCAGUUGAAAACUUAUGUCCACACAAAAACCUAGAAACACGAAUGUUUAUAGCAGUUUUCUAUUCAUAACUGUCAGAACUUGGAAGCGAUCAAGAUGUCCUUCAGUAAAUGAAUGGCUGAGUAAACUAGAAAUCCAGAAAAUGGACUAUGACCAAGUGCUAGAAAGAAGUGAGCUCUCAAACCAUGAAAAGACAUGGAGGAAAAUUAAAUGCAUAUCAUUAUGUGAAUGAAGCCAAUCUGAAAAUAUGACAUUCUGGAAAAGGCAAAACUAUGGACACAGUAAAAAGAAGAGGGGUCGUCAAGGGAAAGUGAGGUGGGAGGGAUGAAUACGUGGAGCAUAGGGGAUUUUUAGGGCAUGAAGCUCUUCUAUAAGACACCACAAUGUUGAAUACAUGGCAUUAUACAUUUGUCCAAACCCACAGAAUGUACAACACAAAGAGUGAACCCUAAUGUACACUAUGGACUCUGGGUGAUCAUAAUGUAUCAGUAUAGGAAAAUGUACCCUCUUGUGUAGGGUGUUAAUUGCAUGCAAGUGUGGAUAGGGGAUGUGUGGAAAUGCUGUCUACUUUCCACUCAAUUUUGGUAUGAUCCUAACAUUGCUCUAAAAAUUAAGGUGUAUUUUUUUUAAGUCUGUCACACUAAAAAGAAAAAGAGAGGAAACAGAGCAAAAGUGAGUCUUUUAAAUAUUUGAUUUAAAUAUCAGGGUCUGGAGUUCCCAUUGUGGCUCAGAGGGUUAAGAACCCGACUAGUAUCCAUGAGGAUGAGGGUUCGAUCCUUGUCCUUACUCAGUGGGUUAAGGAACUGGCAUUGCCAUGAGCCAUGGUGUAGGCUGCAGAUGUGGCUUGUAUCCCAUGUUGCUAUGGCUGUGGUGUAGGCUGGCAGCUGCAGCUCCUAUUUGACCCCUAGCCUGGGAACAUCCAUAUGCCACAAGCAUGGCCCUAAAAAGCAAAAACAAAUAAAUCUCUCUCUCUUUGUAUAUUUCUAUAUAUAUAUCAGUGUCUGGUCACUGAGAGGUGUAGAAUAAUCACAAGGGAUACUUGAUUUUUAAUGUGUCUUUACUGAUCCAGCCCCAUCCUCAACAAACUACUUUCCUCCCUACUGGAGCUCCACUUCUGCCUUCCUAAUAUCAGGACCUGGUCACGUCAAGCUGUUUCCUGCUUGGUCUGCCCCUAUGGCCUCAGGAGAAGGCCCUGAAGUGCAGGGAGGUGGGAAGGCCACAUCUUCCCCAGCGCCCCUCUCACCUGCACCCAUAGAUUCAGGAUCUGUUCUUCUUGGCCCAUGUGAACUUGCACUGAGUUCCUGCAGGAGGGAGCUGCUAAUUUCCACCCAAGACUGGACAAUCAGUAAGGGUUAGACAGUCAUUGCUCUAUAAGAUGUGAGCGAAGACCAAGGCCAGGCUGAACUCGGAAGAGGCAUCUGGCUGAGGGUGGCCUGGACAAAUGCAAGUACAAGCAGCUCCAUUCCCCUUUCCUGACCUAUCGGUCUGCUAACGACACACAGGAAAGAGAUACAGUGUAAAUUCAGGUUUAACAGCAAGAGUGAGCUAAGGCUAACCAUUUUGCAAUAGGAACGAAUUUAUCUGAGAAGUUCAAAAUACAGACUUCAAGCCUACUGUUCAUAUACCGAGUCAUUAUUAAAGCAUCCAUUUCCCCAAAUUGCAAUCCCACCUCCAAAACCACUUAUUCUUUUCUCAGGCCUGAUGUCUUUGCCAGUAUUUCUUCAUUCUGCUGGCUGGAAUAAAGACCCUGACACAGAAGAGGUUAGACAAUCAAGGAGCCUUUAAGGGUAUGGUGGGCAAGAGUGACCCCUGCUGGAUGAAUAAGGGACUAACACAGAAAAA